rnacentral:rRNA from 1 species
UACGAGUGGUGCAAGCGUUAUUCGGAAUCAUUGGGCGUAAAGGGUGUGUAGGCGGCAUGUUAAGUCAAUUGUUAAAUUCUCCGGCCUAACCGGAGGUAUGCAGUAGAAACUGGCGUGCUAGAGGAUGGAAGAGAGAAGUGGAAUUCUCGGAGUAGCGGUAAAAUGCGUAGAUCUCGAGAGGAACACCAAUGGCGAAGGCAGCUUCUUGGUCCAUAUCUGACGCUGAAACACGAAAGCGUGGGGAGCAAACAGG